rnacentral:rRNA from 1 species
CACGUAGGCGGAUUGGCAAGUCAGAUGUGAAAGCCCGGGGCUUAACCUCGGAACUGCAUUUGAUACUGUCAGUCUUGAGUAUGGUAGAGGGGGAUGGAAUUCCCGGUGUAGAGGUGAAAUUCGUAGAUAUCGGGAGGAACACCAGAGGCGAAGGCGAUCCCCUGGGCCAUUACUGACGCUGAGGUGCGAAAGCGUGGGGAGCGAACAGGAUUAGAUACCCUGGUAGUCC